GGCAAGCUCCUCUGACCCUUUCAUCUUCUUUCUGAGCACCCAGAGCUCCGCACCACCCUCCAGAAGUAUUUGUGCCCUUUUGGGGAAUGGGUAACUUUCCCCUCCAAUUCCACGGCAUGCCUAGAGACACUGAAAAAUUGCUUCCGUCAUUGUUUCACCAACUGCCACCAACCCCAUGUGAUCUACAAGCUAUAUGUCCUCGUGGUCAGCAGACGAUACAGCCUACAACAUCUGAGAGAAUAGCUGGAACGUUCAGAGUGAUGCUGUGUCUGUGGUGCCCAGGGUUGUUUUCAAGACUAGGAGCAACGGGGUCUUUAUUAA
rnacentral:lncRNA from 1 species